rnacentral:rRNA from 1 species
AGUGAACGCUGGCGGUAGGCCUAACACAUGCAAGUCGAACGGCAGCACAGUAAGAGCUUGCUCUUACGGGUGGCGAGUGGCGGACGGGUGAGGAGUACAUCGGAAUCUACUUUUUCGUGGGGGAUAACGUAGGGAAACUUACGCUAAUACCGCAUACGACCUACGGGUGAAAGCAGGGGAUCUUCGGACCUUGCGCGAUUGAAUGAGCCGAUGUCGGAUUAGCUAGUUGGCGGGGUAAAGGCCCACCAAGGCGACGAUCCGUAGCUGGUCUGAGAGGAUGAUCAGCCACACUGGAACUGAGACACGGUCCAGACUCCUACGGGAGGCAGCAGUGGGGAAUAUUGGACAAUGGGCGCAAGCCUGAUCCAGCCAUACCGCGUGGGUGAAGAAGGCCUUCGAGUUGUAAAGCCCUUUUGUUGGGAAAGAAAAGCAGCAGGUUAAUACCCCGCUGUUCUGACGGUACCCAAAGAAUAAGCACCGGCUAACUUCGUG